GAUGAACGCUGGCGGCGUGCCUAAUACAUGCAAGUCGAGCGAACGGACGAGAAGCUUGCUUCUCUGAUGUUAGCGGCGGACGGGUGAGUAACACGCGGAUAACCUACCUAUAAGACUGGGAUAACUUCGGGAAACCGUAGCUAAUACCGGAUAAUAUUUUGAACCGCAUGGUUCAAAAGUGAAAGACGGUCUUGCUGUCACUUAUAGAUGGAUCCGCGCUGCAUUAGCUAGUUGGUAAGGUAACGGCUUACCAAGGCAACGAUGCAUAGCCGACCUGAGAGGGUGAUCGGCCACACUGGAACUGAGACACGGUCCAGACUCCUACGGGAGGCAGCAGUAGGGAAUCUUCCGCAAUGGGCGAAAGCCUGACGGAGCAACGCCGCGUGAGUGAUGAAGGUCUUCGGAUCGUAAAACUCUGUUAUUAGGGAAGAACAUAUGUGUAAGUAACUGUGCACAUCUUGACGGUACCUAAUCAGAAAGCCACGGCUAACUACGUGCCAGCAGCCGCGGUAAUACGUAGGUGGCAAGCGUUAUCCGGAAUUAUUGGGCGUAAAGCGCGCGUAGGCGGUUUUUUAAGUCUGAUGUGAAAGCCCACGGCUCAACCGUGGAGGGUCAUUGGAAACUGGAAAACUUGAGUGCAGAAGAGGAAAGUGGAAUUCCAUGUGUAGCGGUGAAAUGCGCAGAGAUAUGGAGGAACACCAGUGGCGAAGGCGACUUUCUGGUCUGUAACUGACGCUGAUGUGCGAAAGCGUGGGGAUCAAACAGGAUUAGAUACCCUGGUAGUCCACGCCGUAAACGAUGAGUGCUAAGUGUUAGGGGGUUUCCGCCCCUUAGUGCUGCAGCUAACGCAUUAAGCACUCCGCCUGGGGAGUACGACCGCAAGGUUGAAACUCAAAGGAAUUGACGGGGACCCGCACAAGCGGUGGAGCAUGUGGUUUAAUUCGAAGCAACGCGAAGAACCUUACCAAAUCUUGACAUCCUUUGACAACUCUAGAGAUAGAGCCUUCCCCUUCGGGGGACAAAGUGACAGGUGGUGCAUGGUUGUCGUCAGCUCGUGUCGUGAGAUGUUGGGUUAAGUCCCGCAACGAGCGCAACCCUUAAGCUUAGUUGCCAUCAUUAAGUUGGGCACUCUAAGUUGACUGCCGGUGACAAACCGGAGGAAGGUGGGGAUGACGUCAAAUCAUCAUGCCCCUUAUGAUUUGGGCUACACACGUGCUACAAUGGACAAUACAAAGGGCAGCGAAACCGCGAGGUCAAGCAAAUCCCAUAAAGUUGUUCUCAGUUCGGAUUGUAGUCUGCAACUCGACUACAUGAAGCUGGAAUCGCUAGUAAUCGUAGAUCAGCAUGCUACGGUGAAUACGUUCCCGGGUCU
rnacentral:rRNA from 1 species